rnacentral:rRNA from 1 species
GCGGAGGAAAAGAAACCAACAGGGAUUGCCCCAGUAACGGCGAGUGAAGCGGCAACAGCUCAAAUUUGAAAUCUGGUCCCCUUGCGGGGCCCGAGUUGUAAUUUGAAGAGGAUGCUUCUGGCAAGGUGCCUUCCGAGUUCCCUGGAACGGGACGCCGCAGAGGGUGAGAGCCCCGUACGGUAGGACGCCGAGCCUCUGUGAAGCUCCUUCGACGAGUCGAGUAGUUUGGGAAUGCUGCUCAAAAUGGGAGGUAAACCCCUUCUAAAGCUAAAUACCGGCCAGAGACCGAUAGCGCACAAGUAGAGUGAUCGAAAGAUGAAAAGCACUUUGAAAAGAGAGUUAAAAAGCACGUGAAAUUGUUGAAAGGGAAGCGCUUGCGACCAGACUCGCGCCCGUCGGAUCAGCCGUCGCUUGUCGGCGGCGCACUCCGGCGGGCUCGGGCCAGCAUCAGUUCGCCUCGGGGGGAGAAAGGCGGCAGGAAUGUGGCUCCUCGGAGUGUUAUAGCCUGCCGUGUAAUACCCCCGGGCGGACUGAGGACCGCGCGUAUGCAAGG